UACCAGCUCUCCGAGUGGUGUGGAUGUUUAUUGGGCCUAAAGCAUCCGUAGCUGGCUGGGCAAGUCCCCUGUUAAAUCCACCGAUUUAAUCGUUGGUGUGCGGGGGAUACUGUUCGGCUAGGGGACGGGAGAGGCCGACGGUAUUUUCGGGGUAGGGGUGAAAUCCUAUAAUCCCGGGAAGACCACCAGCGGCGAAGGCUGUCGGCUAGAACGCGCCCGACGGUGAGGGAUGAAAGCUGGGGGAGCGAACCGGAUUAGAUGCCCGGGUAGUCCCAGCUGUAAACGAUGCAGGCUAGGUGUUUGGGCGGCCACGUGCCGCUCUAGUGCCGCAGAGAAGUCGUUAAGCCUGCCGCCUGGGGAGUACGGCCGCAAGGCUGAACUUAAAGGAAUUGGCGGGGGGCACCACAAGGGGUGAAGCUUGCGGUUU
rnacentral:rRNA from 1 species